rnacentral:rRNA from 2 species
CACCGCAUGGUGGGGGGUGGAGGGCAAUCGUGGUACCGGGGGACUCGCGGCCUACCAGCUUGUUGGUGGGGUAAGGGCCUACCAAGGCGAUGACGGGUAGCCGGCCUGAGAGGGUGACCGGCCACACUGGGACYGAGACACGGCCCAGACUCCUACGGGAGGCAGCAGUGGGGAAUAUUGCACAAUGGGCGCAAGCCUGAUGCAGCGACGCCGCGUGAGGGAUGACGGCCUUCGGGUUGUAAACCUCUUUCAGUAGGGAAGAAGCGAAAGUGACGGUACCUGCAGAAGAAGCGCCGGCUAACUACGUGCCCAGCAGCCGCGGUAAUACGUAGGGCGCAAGCGUUAUCCGGAAUUAUUGGGCGUAAAGAGCUCGUAGGCGGUUUGUCGCGUCUGCUGUGAAAGACCGGGGCUCAACUCCGGUUCUGCAGUGGGUACGGGCAGACUAGAGUGAUGUAGGGGAGACUGGAAUUCCUGGUGUAGCGGUGAAAUGCGCAGAUAUCAGGAGGAACACCGAUGGCGAAGGCAGGUCUCUGGGCAUUAACUGACGCUGAGGAGCGAAAGCAUGGGGAGCGAACAGGAUUAGAUACCCUGGUAGUCCAUGCCGUAAACGUUGGGCACUAGGUGUGGGGGACAUUCCACGUUUUCCGCGCCGUAGCUAACGCAUUAAGUGCCCCGCCUGGGGAGUACGGCCGCAAGGCUAAAACUCAAAGGAAUUGACGGGGGCCCGCACAAGCGGCGGAGCAUGCGGAUUAAUUCGAUGCAACGCGAAGAACCUUACCAAGGCUUGACAUGGACCGGACCGGGCUGGAAACAGUCCUUCCCUUCGGGGCUGGUUCACAGGUGGUGCAUGGUUGUCGUCAGCUCGUGUCGUGAGAUGUUGGGUUAAGUCCCGCAACGAGCGCAACCCUCGUUCCAUGUUGCCAGCGGGUUAUGCCGGGGACUCAUGGGAGACUGCCGGGGUCAACUCGGAGGAAGGUGGGGACGACGUCAAAUCAUCAUGCCCCUUAUGUCUUGGGCUUCACGCAUGCUACAAUGGCCGGUACAAUGGGUUGCGAUACUGUGAGGUGGAGCUAAUCCCAAAAAGCCGGUCUCAGUUCGGAUUGGGGUCUGCAACUCGACCCCAUGAAGUCGGAGUCGCUAGUAAUCGCAGAUCAGCAACGCUGCGGUGAAUACGUUCCCGGGCCUUGUACACACCGCCCGUCAAGUCACGAAAGUUGGUAACACCCGAAGCCGGUGGCCUAACCCGUUUGGGGGGGAG